ncrna:unclassified sequences type-P1 twister ribozyme
CGGCUAAUGCGGCCAGACCUCACGGUCUGGGUGUCACAAGCCACCACGAACGCAGAGUGGCCG